GACGUAGGUGGCGAACGUUUAUCCGGAAUUAUUGGGCGUAAAGGGUGCGUAGGUGGCCUGACAAGUUAUCAGUGGCAAAUCGAGGCUCAACCUCGUGGAAACUGGUAAUACUGUUCGGCUUGAGUACAGGAGAGGUUAACGGAACUCUAUGUGGAGCGGUAAAAUGCACAGAUAUAUGGAAGAACAUCAAUAAAGGCGAAGGCAGUUAACUAUUCUGUUACUGACGCUGAGGCACGAAAGCGUGGGGAGCAAAACGG
rnacentral:rRNA from 1 species